rnacentral:rRNA from 1 species
GUGGGGAAUAUUGGGCAAUGGGGGAAACCCUGGCCCAGCAACGCCGCGUGAAGGAAGAAGGCUUUCGGGUUGUAAACUUCUUUUACCAGGGAAAAACACAAUGAUGGUACCUGGAGAAAAAGCUACGGCUAACUACGUGCCAGCAGCCGCGGUAAUACGAAGGGGGCUAGCGUUGCUCGGAUUUACUGGGCGUAAAGGGCGCGUAGGCGGACAUUUAAGUCAGGGGUGAAAUCCCGGGGCUCAACCUCGGAACUGCCUUUGAAACUCCCAGUCUUGAGUUCGAGAGAGGUGAGUGGAAUUCCGAGUGUAGAGGUGAAAUUCGUAGAUAUUCGGAGGAACACCAGUGGCGAAGGCGGCUCACUGGCUCGAUACUGACGCUGAGGUGCGAAAGCGUGGGGAGCGAACAGGAUUAGAAACCCUUGUAGUCC